rnacentral:rRNA from 1 species
CACGUAGGGUGCGAGCGUUGUCCGGAAUUAUUGGGCGUAAAGCGCGUGUAGGCGGCUUUGCAAGUCGGGUGUGAAAGCCCUCAGCUUAACUGAGGAAGUGCGCCCGAAACUGCAUGGCUUGAGUACCGGAGAGGAUGGUGGAAUUCCCGAAGUAGAGGUGAAAUUCGUAGAUAUCGGGAGGAACACCGGUGGCGAAGGCGACCAUCUGGACGGAUACUGACGCUGAGACGCGAAAGCGUGGGUAGCAAACAGG